GCGGAUGUGGUGUAAUUGGUAGCCACGCCAGAAUCAGGAUCUGGUGCCGCAAGGCAUGGGGGUUCGAGUCCCUUCAUCCGCAC
rnacentral:tRNA from 1 species